GAUUAUUUGAAGGUUGAUUUGAACUAGCCGGAUUAUUUGAAGAAGGGUUGGAACUACCCGGAUAUUUGAAGGAGGAUUUAAACUCUUUCUCUGAAAGUACCGUUUCAUAACUGUACAAUUAAAACAAAAUAAGGGUUUUAUAUCUAUUACUAUGACUAAUUGACUAUAAUUUAUCACUUAAAUAAAUAAAUCAAUAUCAAAUUAUCAAUUAAACAAACAAAUAAAAAUUAAUUAUAGCUCAAAUAACAUGUCAUGUAGCUUGGUAUUCACUCGAGUUUGCUACUGAUCUUACUAACACAGAGAGAGUUGAAUAACCAAAAAAAUACAAAACAAAAAAAACAAAAAAAAACAAAAAAAAAAACAAAAAUGGAGUUUGCUUAAGAAAAAAAAUGCAUUUGACUUACUUUGGUUUGACAUAGUCAAGAAGGAAAAAAAACACAGGAUUCUUGUGAUGCACACACACUUUGAUGAAAUUAGGUGUCUUUUAUAAAGAGAAUUCUCAAUCCUACUUAAUUAAGGAAUUUCGAAAACCCAAUUGAAUAAAGAGAACCCAAUUAAGUAA
rnacentral:lncRNA from 1 species